rnacentral:rRNA from 1 species
AACGAACGCUGGCGGCGCGCCUAAUACAUGCAAGUCGAGCGAGAAGGUGUAGCAAUACACUUGUAAAGCGGCGAACGGGUGAGGAAUACAUGGGUAACCUACCCUCGAGUGGGGAAUAACUAGCCGAAAGGUUAGCUAAUACCGCAUACGAUUCCGGGACUUCGGUUCCGGAAGGCAAGCGAUACCGUGGGUAUCGCGCUCCUGGAUGGGCUCAUGUCCUAUCAGCUUGUUGGUGAGGUAACGGCUCACCAAGGCUUCGACGGGUAGCUGGUCUGAGAGGACGAUCAGCCACACUGGCACUGCGACACGGGCCAGACUCCUACGGGAGGCAGCAGUAAGGAAUAUUGCGCAAUGGGCGAAAGCCUGACGCAGCGACGCCGCGUGGGGGAUGAAGGUCUUCGGAUUGUAAACCCCUUUCGGGAGGGAAGAUGGGAUGGGUAACCAUCCGGACGGUACCUCCAGAAGCAGCCACGGCUAACUUCGUGCCAGCCGCCGCAGUAAAAC